CGCAAACAUCCCCAUAUAGAAUCUAGCAUUCUACAAAAGCUGAAUGAGUUUUUUCGACCAUAUAAUAAAAAGCUGUUUUCUCUGAUAAACCAAACAUUUGACUGGGAUGAUUGAGAAUGAGUCAUGGUCGUAUUAGCUAGAGCGUACAACAAUGUCAAAUCCAUAGUGCUAUAAUUACGAGUUGGAAAUACAUUUCUAGUAUCUAUUUAUUCAAUCUAAUGAAGUAUACAUUUAUUUUAGAGACGGUUUUACUUUUUGAAAUCAAAGAAAAAUUUAACUUUGUCGAGCUGAGCUUAAAAGGAUGACCCUCAUUUAUUCAUUAUUUAAACAGCAUCAGAUGGCAGAAUCAGAAAUAAUAAUUGUGUACACUUGAUUGUAAAAUCAAUCUGCCCCCUCACUGCAUUAUGGGACAGGUAACCCAUACCGUUUACUAUUGCAUUCUGUGAAUGUUGACGCAUUGUGCCUGUUGUGCAUUUGAUGUGACUGAUUAUUUCAUUAUAGUGUUCAUGUACUUCAUGGCGAGCCUGAACAUUUGAACAAUUUGACAAAGUCAACAUUGAUGUCUCCUACCAAUCUAGUCACUUCACAUUUAUAUUUGUUCUAUUAUGCAUUCAGAUUUGUUUUGUAUGAUUUUGUAUUGUACUAUUGUUAUAAUGUUAUUUUAAUCUAUUAAAAAUAUGAAUGUG
rnacentral:misc_RNA from 1 species